rnacentral:rRNA from 1 species
GGAAUUACUGGGCGUAAAGCGCACGCAGGCGGUCUGUCAAGUCGGAUGUGAAAUCCCCGGGCUCAACCUGGGAACUGCAUUCGAAACUGGCAGGCUAGAGUCUUGUAGAGGGGGGUAGAAUUCCAGGUGUAGCGGUGAAAUGCGUAGAGAUCUGGAGGAAUACCGGUGGCGAAGGCGGCCCCCUGGACAAAGACUGACGCUCAGGUGCGAAAGCGUGGGGAGCAAACAGGAUUAGAUACCCUGGUAGUCCACGCCGUAAACGAUGUCGAUUUGGAGGUUGUGCCCUUGAGGCGUGGCUUCCGGAGCUAACGCGUUAAAUCGACCGCCUGGGG